UACGUAGGGCGCAAGCGUUAUCCGGAAUUAUUGGGCGUAAAGGGCGCGUAGGCGGCCUUUCAAGUGACGGGUGAAAGCCCUCGGCUUAACCGAGGAACUGCCUGUGAGACUGGAAGGCUUGAGACCGGGAGAGGUGAGUGGAAUUCCCAGUGUAGCGGUGAAAUGCGUAGAUAUUGGGAGGAACACCAGUGGCGAAGGCGGCUCACUGGACCGGUACUGACGCUGAGGCGCGAAAGCGUGGGGAGCAAACAGG
rnacentral:rRNA from 1 species